AAUGUGGAAUCCUUUGCAGGACCAAAGUCAGAUUGUACUUUGAGAGCCCAGAACCUUGCUGAGUGUGGGAGCUCAUGUGUCUCCUGUUGCACACGUCUGGGAGGGGCUAGGAGUUCCUGGGUCAGCUGCAGACCUCGAUAACGCUGGUGGUUUGCAGUGGUGGCCCUGACCCUGUGUCCUCCUCAUCCCACCCAGAGUGAAGAUGAGUCCACUGUGUCUAUAACUGAGGCCUGCAGGAUGCGUGCCCUCCAGGCAGGCACGAUGCAGAGGCUCUCAGAGUCUGUGCUGCCAGCCUUCCCCAGCAGAGUCCUCUGCAGUGUCAUCACCUCCCUCUGCUGCAGCUACUCAGGCUCCAGCACAGCCCACCAGGUGCUGGACCAGCUGUUUCCCAGUGCUAUCUAUUUCCUGCUGGGAACCUGGCUGGGCCAAGGGCAGGAUUGCAGGGAGCCCCUACAGUUUCCAUGCUGGACCCUGCAGCUGGCCACUCUGCACGUCAGCUUUGGUGGCUCACAUGUGGAGGGCCAUGCCUACCUUCUGCCA
rnacentral:lncRNA from 1 species